rnacentral:lncRNA from 1 species
UUUAGGGUUUAGUAUUUAUGAGUUAGGGUUUGAGUAGUGUUUAUAUUUAGGGAUUAUGGGUUAAUAUUUGGGUUUGGGUUUAGGGUUUAUAUUUGAGUUUAGAGUUUAAUAUUUUAAAAGUGGGGAUUAAGGUUAGGGUUAGCAUUAUCUUUUCUCAUGCAAUUAUAAUCAUUUUAUAAUUUCAGUAAGAUGUACUAUACUAUUAAUUAUUUUCUUCCAUUCCAUUUGUAUUUAGGUUUUAUAGUUAGAUCUAGUUUUGUACUUUGGUUUAGGAUCUAGUGAUUGGAGUUAUGGGUAUGGUUGAAAUAUGGUUUAUGGUUAUUAACAAAUUUAUUCUUAACUCACGAGUCUAUUCAGAAGUUGUACGUAGGAUUAAAAUUCUAUACUACUUUGACGAUAUGAAAUACACAUGAAAUUUUCUAUUUUAUCCAUUUAUUUUAUUGUACAUAGUGAAUGUAUGAAGUAAAUAAGUGUUUAACGUGGCUGGUUUUACAUAAGGUGAUUGUAAAUAAAUGUGACUCACUCUUGUCCACUACUCCAAACGAAGACGUCUCCUCUUUUUCUUUUAUCACCGGAUACUUGUUAAUGACAAGGGCAUUACCGGAUAAAAUGUGGGCCAAAUGUUAGUUUUUUAAUAACGUCAAAAUCAACGUUAUUUUCUUA